rnacentral:piRNA from 1 species
UGGAUACCUCCUAAGUGCCAAAUUGUAUAGU